GUGAGGUCGUGUUUUGUGAAAAAGAUGCAUUGCAGUGAACGCAGGAAAAUGGUUGCUAUCCUGUAAUGGACAUGGAUGUGUCUCAUGAGGCUGUUUUCCAGCAGAAAGGAUGCAUUGCAGUGGACACAGAAAAAGGGCCGCUCUCCUGUGUGGAUACGGAUGUGUCUCACGAGCUGGGUUUUCUGCCCAAAGGAUGCAUUGCAGUGGACACAGGAAAAUGGACGC
rnacentral:lncRNA from 1 species